rnacentral:rRNA from 1 species
UACGUAGGUGGCAAGCGUUGUCCGGAUUUACUGGGCGUAAAGAGCGCGCAGGCGGUCGUUCAAGUCGCGUGUGAAAGCCCCCGGCUCAACUGGGGAGGGUCACGCGAUACUGAUCGACUCGAAGGCAGGAGAGGGAAGUGGAAUCCCCGGUGUAGUGGUGAAAUGCGUAGAUAUCGGGAGGAACACCAGUGGCGAAGGCGACUUCCUGGCCUGUUCUUGACGCUGACGGCGCGAAAGCUAGGGGAGCAAACGGGG